UACGUAGGCAGCGAGCGUUGUUCGGAGUUACUGGGCGUAAAGCGUGCGUAGGCGGUUGUCUAAGUCUGGUGUGAAAUCUCCCGGCUCAACUGGGAGGGUGCGCCGGAAACUGGAUGACUGGGGUGCCGGAGAGGUAAGCGGAAUUCCUGGUGUAGCGGUGAAAUGCGUAGAGAUCAGGAGGAACACCUGUGGUGUAGACAGCUUACUGGACGGUGACUGACGCUGAGGCACGAAAGCGUGGGUAGCAAACAGG
rnacentral:rRNA from 1 species